rnacentral:misc_RNA from 1 species
ACCUUUAUUAGCUGGAGGUGACGAAAAAACGGAAUUUCCGGUUGCUCUGGCGGAGAUCCUUCGGAUCCAGGCGCAGCGAGCAACAGCUACAAGUCCGAGGACGCAAAUGAGCGCACAGAGGAGGGCGGCGAGGAUGACGACGAAGUCAGAAUCGACUUUACCGAUCCCGGUGGUUGCAGACGGCGACGGAGGCGACGGUGAUGGAUCAGAA